rnacentral:rRNA from 1 species
GAUGAACGCUAGCGAUAGGCCUAACACAUGCAAGUCGAGGGGCAUCACAUGAAGUAGCAAUACGGAUGGUGGCGACCGGCGCACGGGUGAGUAACACGUAUGCAACCUGCCUUCAACAAGGGGAUAACCCGUUGAAAGACGGACUAAUACCCUAUAACACAGGGGUCCCGCAUGGGAAUAUUUGUUAAAGGACAACCGGUUGAAGAUGGGCAUGCGUUCCAUUAGCUAGUUGGCGGGGUAACGGCCCACCAAGGCAACGAUGGAUAGGGGAACUGAGAGGUUUAUCCCCCACACUGGUACUGAGACACGGACCAGACUCCUACGGGAGGCAGCAGUGAGGAAUAUUGGUCAAUGGACGCAAGUCUGAACCAGCCACGUCGCGUGAAGGAAGACGGCCCUAGGGUUGUAAACUUCUUUUAACGGGAAUAAAGUGCCCCACGCGUGGGGUUUUGCAUGUACCGUAUGAAUAAGGAUCGGCUAACUCCGUG